AGCCUCCUGGUGCUUACCACAGGCUGUGUUCUUCUACUGGCUGUAUAGAAGGAGGAGGCAAAGUAAACCUACCCCUUGUGCACCUCAGCCCAGACCCUGAGCCUAGUCUGUAUUGUGAAUGGAUACACAUGA
rnacentral:snoRNA from 1 species